ensembl:misc_RNA Metazoa_SRP Metazoan signal recognition particle RNA
ACCAGGUGCAGUGGCAAGUAUCUGUAGUCCCAGCUACUCAGGAGGCUGAAGCAGGAGGAUUGCUUGAAGCCAGGAGUUUUGAGGCUGCAGUGAGCUAUGAUCACUGCAUGAAUAGCUACUGCACUCCAGCCUGGGCAACACAGCAAGACCCUGUCUCUU